rnacentral:rRNA from 1 species
UACGGGAGGCAGCAGUGAGGAAUAUUGGACAAUGGGUGAGAGCCUGAUCCAGCCAUCCCGCGUGAAGGACGACGGCCCUAUGGGUUGUAAACUUCUUUUGUACAGGGAUAAACCUUUCCACGUGUGGAAAGCUGAAGGUACUGUACGAAUAAGCACCGGCUAACUCCGUGCCAGCAGCCGCGGUAAU